UCACUUAUAGAUGGAUCCGCGCUGCAUUAGCUAGUUGGUAAGGUAACGGCUUACCAAGGCAACGAUGCAUAGCCGACCUGAGAGGGUGAUCGGCCACACUGGAACUGAGACACGGUCCAGACUCCUACGGGAGGCAGCAGUAGGGAAUCUUCCGCAAUGGGCGAAAGCCUGACGGAGCAACGCCGCGUGAGUGAUGAAGGUCUUCGGAUCGUAAAACUCUGUUAUUAGGGAAGAACAUAUGUGUAAGUAACUGUGCACAUCUUGACGGUACCUAAUCAGAAAGCCACGGCUAACUACGUGCCAGCAGCCGCGGUAAUACGUAGGUGGCAAGCGUUAUCCGGAAUUAUUGGGCGUAAAGCGCGCGUAGGCGGUUUUUUAAGUCUGAUGUGAAAGCCCACGGCUCAACCGUGGAGGGUCAUUGGAAACUGGAAAACUUGAGUGCAGAAGAGGAAAGUGGAAUUCCAUGUGUAGCGGUGAAAUGCGCAGAGAUAUGGAGGAACACCAGUGGCGAAGGCGACUUUCUGGUCUGUAACUGACGCUGAUGUGCGAAAGCGUGGGGAUCAAACAGGAUUAGAUACCCUGGUAGUCCACGCCGUAAACGAUGAGUGCUAAGUGUUAGGGGGUUUCCGCCCCUUAGUGCUGCAGCUAACGCAUUAAGCACUCCGCCUGGGGAGUACGACCGCAAGGUUGAAACUCAAAGGAAUUGACGGGGACCCGCACAAGCGGUGGAGCAUGUGGUUUAAUUCGAAGCAACGCGAAGAACCUUACCAAAUCUUGACAUCCUUUGACAACUCUAGAGAUAGAGCUUUCCCCUUCGGGGGACAAAGUGACAGGUGGUGCAUGGUUGUCGUCAGCUCGUGUCGUGAGAUGUUGGGUUAAGUCCCGCAACGAGCGCAACCCUUAAGCUUAGUUGCCAUCAUUAAGUUGGGCACUCUAAGUUGACUGCCGGUGACAAACCGGAGGAAGGUGGGGAUGACGUCAAAUCAUCAUGCCCCUUAUGAUUUGGGCUACACACGUGCUACAAUGGACAAUACAAAGGGCAGCGAAACCGCGAGGUCAAGCAAAUCCCAUAAAGUUGUUCUCAGUUCGGAUUGUAGUCUGCAACUCGACUACAUGAAGCUGGAAUCGCUAGUAAUCGUAGAUCAGCAUGCUACGGUGAAUACGUUCCCGGGUCUUGUACACACCGCCCGUCACACCACGAGAGUUUGUAACACCCGAAGCCGGUGGAGUAACCUUUUAGGAGCUAGCCGUCGAAG
rnacentral:rRNA from 1 species